GACGAACGCUGGCGGCGUGCUUAACACAUGCAAGUCGAACGAAGUGGCGAACGGGUGAGUAACGCGUAAUCAACCUGCCCUUCAGGGGGGGACAACAGUUGGAAACGACUGCUAAUACCCCAUACUGACGGAGGAGAUGGCGGCGGAUUAGCUGGGUGGAGGGGUAACGGCCCACCAAGGCGAGGAUCAGUAGCCGGUGUGAGAGGAUGAACGGCCACAUUGGGACUGGGACACGGCCCAGACUGCUACGGGAGGCAGCAGUGGGGAAUCUUCCGCAAGGGACGAAAGUCUGACGGAGCAACGGCGCGUGAGGGAUGACGGCCUUCGGGUUGUAAAGCUCUGUUAAUCGGGACGCGGUACCGGAAGAGAAAGCCACGGCUAACUACGUGCCAGCAGCCGCGGUAAUUC
rnacentral:rRNA from 1 species